AGAAUAGAAGAUGAUGAGCUUAUUGGCUUUAUCUUGAAUGGAUUUGAUUCAGAAUAUAAUCCGUUCGUAUCCUCGGUGUCGAUCAAAGAAUCAUUAUCUCUCAGCAAUUUAUAUGCUCAGUUGCUAUCCUAUG
rnacentral:snoRNA from 1 species